ensembl:lncRNA
UUUUUUUUUUUUUUUUUUUUUUUGAGACAGUCUCUCUCUCUGUCUCCCAGGCUGGAGUCCAAUGGUACAAUCUCAGCUAACUGCAACCUCUGCUUCCCAGGUUCCAGCGAUUCUCCUGCCUCAGCCUCCAGGGUAGCUGGGACUACAGGCAUGUGCCACCACGCCCAGCUAAUUUUUGUAUUUUUAGUAGAGACGGUGUUUCACCACGUUGGCCAGGCUGGUCUUGAACUCCUGACCUCAUGAUCUGCCCUCCUUGGCCUCCCAAAGUGCUGGGAUUACAGGUGUGAGCCACCGUGCCUGGCCGCAAACAGACAUCUUUAUAAUGCUUUUGACACUUUGCGUUAUAAUUUUCUAAAAUAAGAAGUGUAAAAGAAAAGUCAUAUCCCAUGUAGUUCACUGAAAUGGAAUGUUAUCUGCCCUAAAAAUGAUUACAAAUGAUUGGACUAGGCUUCUGUUCGUGUUUUAUGAGUUGUGUUGGAAUUAGAGCGUUUAGGUUCUCUUCCAACCAGCAAAGUCCUCCAGCUCGUGAGUGCUGCAAUUUACAGCCGGCUGGAGUCAGUGUCAGGGAGGGUGGUCUCUAGCAACACGCCAGGGCCAAGCUUGCUAAAAGAGGCCUUGAGUUCUUAACUCCUGGAAAGCAGGAGUAAUGUGAGGAUGGGCUCCCUGAUCUUGUAUAGCAGGCUCAGGAAUGAGAAGAGGCUUCCGAGAACAUGAUACAGCAAGAACACAAAAUAGACAGCAGGAAACCGUGUUCUGUUUUUUGCAUGUUUAUGCUAGGUUAUAUCUGACACCCCAGAGUCGGAUAGAAGAGAUAGAAAAGCUGCAAGGGAACAGGCAUUGGUUGGGUGCCCCGGGGUCGGCUUACCGUACAUGUGCGCAAUCCUUCAGCAACCCCACUAGGUAGAGCCAUCCCUGCCGGUUUGCACACACGGACCUGGCACUCAGGCACACAGACAACACACUAGGCCGUUUCCUGGCAAGGCGCAGGUCUGCUCUGCCUCUGCCCAUGUGCGCUUUUCCACAAUAUGCGACCUGACAGCAUCAUGGGUCACACCUGCAGAGCGAGGCACCCUGUUGCAGUCUGGAUCAUAGUGCCAAGUUCUGACAUGCAGUGCUCACCUGAAGCCUGUUGCUGUUUCAGCAGUGACUGUGCUUGCCAGUUUCCAACACAUGCUUCCAAUGGGAAGGGCCUAGACAGACGCAUCCACUUCACUUUUGUCACAAGUCCUGGUUCCCAGGCACCUCUGGGAUGCCUUUUUCAUGUUUCUAUCCCAAUCCCAGCAUGGGAAUAUUUCAACAGAGCUUGCUGGGAAACCCUGACCUGCAAUUAUGGAAACCAAGAAUGGACAUGUUUCUAUUAAUAUUGGCCCCAGAUAAACCACCUACUCUUUUAGGUCAGCAUUAUUUGGCAAGGGAUGAGGUGGGCUGGAGGCAGCAUCUGCAGCCUUCCCACACAACACCCCAAGCUUCUCUGCAUGGCGGAAUCCCUGCUUUCGGAGGGCUCCAGCUCCGGAGGGCUCCAGCUCCGGAGGGCUCCAGCUCUAGAGGGCUGGAGAAGUUCCUUUAAGUCUCUUGGCCUCAUUUCUGCAUCCAUUGAAAUUUACAUCCAGCUUCAUUCUUCCUCCACAUCAAAAGGCCUCAGAUGGUCCGGCUCUGCUUCCAAACCAGAGUGCAGGAAAGUG